rnacentral:rRNA from 1 species
UUCGCAAUGCCCGAAAGGGUGACGAAGCGACGCCGCGUGUGGGAAGAAGGCCUUCGGGUUGUAAACCACUGUCGGGAGUUAAGAAAUGCAAGAAUGUUAAUAGCGUUUUUGCUUGACUAAGGCUCCGGAGGAAGCCACGGCUAACUCUGUGCCAGCAGCCGCGGUAAUACAGAGGCGGCAAGCGUUGUUCGGAAUUAUUGGGCGUAAAGAGCACGUAGGCGGCUAUAUAAGUCGGUUGUGAAAGCCUUCCGCUCAACGGGAGAACAGCAUCCGAUACUGUAUGGCUUGAGUGUGGGAGGGGAGAGCGGAACUUCUGGUGGAGCGGUGAAAUGCGUAGAUAUCAGAAGGAACGCCGGCGGCGAAAGCGGCUCUCUGGCCCAUAACUGACGCUGAGUGUGCGAAAGCUAGGGGAGCAAACGGGAUUAGAUACCCCGGUAGUCCUAGCCCUAAACGAUGGGCACUAAGUAGAGGGGUUUU